AUGAGUGACAAAAAACAGCUUUUCUCAGCCUGAGUGUGAAGUUCCUCUUCUUUUUUCUCCCAGGCUGCAGGUAGAGCAGCGUGUGUGAAUCACAGUGUGCGGCGGCGGCGGCGGUGCAGCUCCUCUGUUGUUUAGAAGGAGGUCGGGGAGAGAAGGUGACAUCAUCUCUACACCUGAGGCGGCGGAGCUGACACCUCCAGCUCUCAGACAGGGCCGAGUUUAAACCGCGUCUGAGGACGGAGCCGAGUUC
ensembl:lncRNA